AUUGAACGCUGGCGGCAGGCCUAACACAUGCAAGUCGAACGGUAACAGGAAGCAGCUUGCUGCUUUGCUGACGAGUGGCGGACGGGUGAGUAAUGUCUGGGAAACUGCCUGAUGGAGGGGGAUAACUACUGGAAACGGUAGCUAAUACCGCAUAAUGUCGCAAGACCAAAGAGGGGGACCUUCGGGCCUCUUGCCAUCGGAUGUGCCCAGAUGGGAUUAGCUAGUAGGUGGGGUAAAGGCUCACCUAGGCGACGAUCCCUAGCUGGUCUGAGAGGAUGACCGGCCCAACUGGAACUGAGACACGGUCCCGACUCCUACGGGAGGCAGCCGUGGGGAAUAUUGGACAAUGGGGGCAAGCCUGAUGCAGCCAUGCCGCGUGGAUGAAGAAGGCCUUCGGGUUGUAAAGUACUUUCAGCGGGGAGGAAGGGAGUAAAGUUAAUACCUUUGCUCAUUGACGUUACCCGCAGAAGAAGCACCGGCUAACUCCGUG
rnacentral:rRNA from 1 species